rnacentral:rRNA from 1 species
AUUGAACGCUGGCGGCAUGCCUUACGCAUGCAAGUCGAACGGUAACGCGGGGCAACCUGGCGACGAGUGGCGAACGGGUUAGUAAUGUAUCGGAACGUGCCCAGUUGUGGGGGAUAACUGCUCGAAAGAGCAGCUAAUACCGCAUACGACCUGAGGGUGAAAGCGGGGGAUCGCAAGACCUCGCGCAAUUGGAGCGGCCGAUACCAGAUUAGGUAGUUGGUGGGGUAAAGGCUCACAAAGCCGACGAUCUGCAGCUGGUCUGAGAGGACGACCAGCCACACUGGGACUGAGACACGGCCCAGACUCCUACGGGAGGCAGCAGUGGGGAAUUUUGGACAAUGGACGCAAGUCUGAUCCAGCCAUGCCGCGUGCGGGAAGAAGGCCUUCGGGUUGUAAACCGCUUUUGUCAGGGAAGAAACGCUCUGGGUUAAUACCUCGGGGUAAUGACGGUACCUGAAGAAUAAGCACCGGCUAACUACGUGCCAGCAGCCGCCGUAACAC